AUACAUUUGCUAUAUUCUUACAUGGGGAUAAUAGUUUAUGUACAAAAGUACGUAUUGUAGCUACGCCUCUGAUCCUCAUAUUUCCUAAAUCUUUACGUAUACGGACCAUAUUUUCAAUUUAUCUAUCCUUUCUAUGGCUGGCUACACUCUGAUCGAUUCGAAUCUGAUCAAUGUGAUUUAAGGUUUUCGAUGAUUGAAUCUGCGAGUUUUAGUCUUCAAUCACACGAUGACUGCCCAAAUCACGAAGCCCUUUGAGGCUAUCAGUAGCAGGAGAAGGGCAUGUUAUGAACAUUGGCUGAUGCCAGUUGGUGUAGAGGGCAACCUACCCUAUUGUGCAUUACAAAUCAUUAUUAGAUAUAAAUAUAAGGAAUUAAAUGGCCAUUCUUCCAGAAGUGAUAUGAUAAGUUGAGUACAAUUUCGAACCUUUUAUAGUGCUCUUUCUCUAAUUUUGUGAUCCUCAUGGGGUGACUCUUAUUUCAUAUUCAACUAAUGUGCUCUUUUUCUCAGAGGUUACUCUUAUCACGAUUUUGGUCCUCUGAUCGUUUUUAUUAUGGACUUACAGUGCUAACAGGAAUCCACUUGAAAGAUUUCUUUGUUGAGAGAAACAGGAGAAAUCCUCUCUGAAAUAGUCAAAAUUCCAAGACUCCAUUUUCCUUUCCAGUUCUGACAUUAUCUGCAUCUGAUUUAUUUUUGCAGUCCUUUGUGUUAUGUUAAUUAUCAAUGUUAUGGCAGGUUCUGCUGCUGUAUUGUUGGAAUAUAUAGCAAGAAGAAAAACUUUUAUGAUCACCAUGGGACAUGGUUGACCUUAGAGUCUCUCCAGCACAGAAGGUAAUUUCAAAUGAAUGUGGAGGAAUUUUAGGUUGAAAGAAAAAGGGAGUAGAGGAACUUGAUGAAGCAAAUCUUUGGCUGAAUGAAAGAAACAUGAACUAUUUGAGGAAAACUCAGGUAUCGAUUUAAGGAGACUGCUCACAAUGUCCAUUCUAUGAACUAAAAUUAAAAGAGGAAUAUGAGGUAUGCACCACGUUGGAGGAGAUCAAUGAAUAUAGUAACAUUUAAUGAUAGUGCUUUUGAUUAUAUUUUCUUUUGGGGGAUUUUAUGCUUCUAGAAUGAUCUAAGCUUAUAUGGACGUGGGCAUAAUUUUGCUCUCAAAAACCUUAGUUUGCUUCAGUUAAACCUUUAGGUCAGCAAAAUAACCUCUAGGUGAGUUGCUCUGCAUGAAAAUUUGGAGUUAGGCAAUCUCUAUUGAGCAUUCCAAAUUGAGGUAUCUUCUCUAUUAUGGAUUGUUUGUCAUAUAUUUAUAUGUAGCUUGUUUUUUCUUCAAUUCAGUCUCUCGAUACGAGGAAAGAGAAUAAAGGGAUAGUUUAUACAUGUUGAGUUGGAUUGCCAAGUAAGACUUGCAUUACAUCUAUAGAAUAAAGGGAUAGCUUAUACAUAGAGCAUUCCCUUUGGUGCCUAACAUAUUAAAUAGUAAAUACAAAGUGGCAGUAACUAAAAUUUACAAACAACAAAUCAAUUUGUUAAAUUAUAAUUUAGAAUUGAGAACUUCAUUGAAUUUUUUUACUUAAAUUACUCCUAGAAUUAAUCUUUCUUGUUAUAAAAUUUCCUUCAUUUCACUUUUCUUCUGUUCAUAGUGAGACUAUCCUAUUAGAAAUGUCCAACUUAGCAGGUGUAUUAUUAUGGGGCAGGAAAAUUUUGAAAGACAUGGAGCAGGGGAAGAAGGAGGGGCGAGGCACUUAUCUGGAUUCUCAAGUGUGGAGCCAGUAGUUGAAUAAUAGUUGCUGAACUUGCUUCAGCUAUAUGAUCAAAUAGCACAUGAGAAGACUUCAUCGACAAAAUGCGUGACUUGUACUCACAGCUGACAAGACUACAGGAUCAGUUGGAGAAAGAGAGAGAGGUAAGGGAAGUGCUGGAAGCUGGACGUAAAAUGUCCCAAGGGCCCUUACAUGUCUUAUCCACUAUAGAUGAGAAAGAAAGUCAACCUCACAAUUAAUGGAAGGAUGAAGAGAAAGACCUUGAAAUUACAGCUACUUCAUGUAUCCUUGAAAGGUCGACAAGAAGGAAGGGAGUUGUUGCUUAAGUUCAGACACCCAGUAAGCCAAUGAUGUACAGAUCAUCCAUAUCCUUGGUGUAAGGUUUUUUUUUUUUUUUUUUUGUCCCUGUUAAAUGUGUAAAUUGAAUUGUUUUGGAAGUCUGUUGAAGGUUGUAUUGAAAACCUUGGUUUCAAGUCUCUAUUGGACCUUCA